rnacentral:rRNA from 1 species
AACGAACGCUGGCGGCAGGCCUAACACAUGCAAGUCGAGCGAGGACUUCGGUUCUAGCGGCGGACGGGUGAGUAACGCGUGGGAAUGUGCCCUUCUCUACGGAAUAGCCCUGGGAAACUGGGAGUAAUACCGUAUACGCCCUUUUGGGGAAAGAUUUAUCGGAGAAGGAUCAGCCCGCGUUGGAUUAGGUAGUUGGUGGGGUAAUGGCCUACCAAGCCGACGAUCCAUAGCUGGUUUGAGAGGAUGAUCAGCCACACUGGGACUGAGACACGGCCCAGACUCCUACGGGAGGCAGCAGUGGGGAAUCUUAGACAAUGGGGGCAACCCUGAUCUAGCCAUGCCGCGUGAGUGAUGAAGGCCUUAGGGUUGUAAAGCUCUUUCAGCUGGGAAGAUAAUGACGGUACCAGCAGAAGAAGCCCCGGCUAACUCCG